ACUGGGAGGGGAGACAUGUUUACAUGUUCUCACCUCCCCCACCAUUUUUCAGGUAUCGUGGGCGAUGAGUAGUGGGACGAGACGUGAGGUACGCGUGUAGCGGUCGAUAGAGCUUUCGACCCGGGUUAAUUCGGUUUACUUUCUUACCCUUCUUAUUUUGGCUGAUGAAUAGUUUAGUUGGUUUAUGUGGUUCAGUGUUUAUUUACAUUUGAAAAUGUGGAUUUCUGGAUUUUGUAAAAUAAAAGGUUUUCUACCCCUCGUGGUAGCGUUUUUAACGAAUAAAGGUUUCCGUGUAGGGAACAGUUUUCAAAAGAAUUUUCGUGAAUUUCUAUUUAAACACUGAAUGUAAAACUGUGACGUGAAUGGUGAAUGUAUGAAUGUAUAGUUAUCGUUAUAUUCAUUUGGUUGUGUUGGUUUCCUGGCUAUACUCUUGUACUUGUACGACGCCGUGCAAAUACAGGGGAGACUCUGUCCGUGUGAACAGUGGAUUCCCUGUAUUUGUGGCGGAUCUGGCAUACUCUGGGGUCAGGUUUUCAAAAAAAAAAAAAUUUCAGACGCUUUUCCGCUUUGUUUUAAACUGAAAAGGGACCCCGGGGCGUGACAAGCCUGUCCCCUAACAGCAUCACCAGCACCAUCGACAGCCUAAGCACAGCUAGGACCUCCGCAGUCUUACGGGGCACCACCGAGUUACGGUCAAGAGGACAGAGCAUCUAUGCCGUUUCAGGGCGAGCGGCGACAGCAGGCUCCGAGUGGUAGAGUCUACGCAGCCCAGGUGGAGGACUCUACAGCAGCUGAUCAAGUGGUGGCAGGUAUCAUUUUGAUUUCCGGCAUUAAAGCUCGUACUUUUUUCGAUACCGUUGCAUCACAUUCUUUUGUUAGCCGAGCAUUUAUAUUGUUGC
rnacentral:lncRNA from 1 species